CCUGGCAGUCACAUUUCACAUGCUCAAUAGCUACAUAUAGCUGGUAGCUACCAUGUCGUACUGUAGACGACCAUUGAUGACGAAUGAUUGCUGACCUUUUGUUUACCUGGAUAUGUUGCUUGACCCAUGGCUUCAAACAGUCCUUGUUCUUGGUACCAUAUAACCCAAUAUAUGUUUUAAAAGCAUCUGGCCAGGUACAGUGGCUCAAGCCUGUAAUCCCAAUACCAUGGAAGGCCAAAGCAGGUGUAUCAC
rnacentral:lncRNA from 1 species